CUGCUACUCAGACUAGAUCAACACUGCCUUCCAAACGAAAGCCUAUGCCAAAUAUGAUCCGCAUGGGCACAAUACUUGGCUAUUCAUAAAAACACUGUUAUAUUCCCAUUGUUUUUAUUUUUCUUACAGCAUAGCCUGAGCUACAAGAGAGCGAUAUGACUUACAGUCAAUUCUAAGAUAGAUCGCCGCUGAGUGGUGGAUGCGCGUCAGUGCCGGGAUCUGUCAGUGUAUUCUGAGAAAAGAUCAUCCUUCCGUGCUGCGUGGUGGGGAGCUGAGCAUAUAGCUGUAGAAUAGAGGGAGGAUAGGGAGGCGUUCUGUGUACGGAACAUAACGAGUAAGCGUUAUAAAUGACAUUGCAAGCAAAUAAUACGGAUUCCAAACGUUAAAACACGCUCAAAACGGAAGUGUGACAAGGGGGCACAAGCGCCCGGUUCCUACAGAAACGAUCUCCUCGAUUGAUAAUUUUCUUGAAAGGAGCGGCCGAUUCCCUUGCAAUCAUGGGGAACCGGGGGAUGGAAGACCUUAUUCCCCUGGUGAAUAAAAUGCAAGAUGCCUUCUCGGCCAUCGGACAAAAUUCCCAGUUGGACCUGCCUCAAAUUGCUGUGGUCGGUGGGCAGAGUGCAGGGAAAAGCUCGGUGUUGGAGAACUUCGUUGGGAAGGACUUCCUUCCCCGUGGCUCUGGUAUCGUUACUCGCCGCCCUUUGGUCCUCCAGCUUAUCAACUGUCCCACAGAAUAUGCUGAGUUCCUUCACUGUAAAGGAAAGAAGUUCACGGACUUCGAUGAGGUUCGGGCUGAGAUCGAGGCGGAGACGGACCGUAUCACUGGGCAAAAUAAGGGCAUCUCCCCUGUGCCAAUUAACCUCCGGGUUUACUCCCCACAUGUCCUGAACCUGACUUUGGUGGACUUGCCUGGGAUGACCAAAGUUCCAGUCGGGGACCAGCCUGCGGACAUCGAGCAGCAGAUCAGGGACAUGUUGUAUCAGUUUGUGACCAAGGACAACUGUCUCUUGCUGGCUGUCUCCCCAGCCAACUCUGAUCUGGCAAACUCAGAUGCCCUGAAGAUUGCCAAAGAGGUCGACCCACAAGGUCUACGAACUAUUGGUGUGAUAACCAAGCUGGACCUAAUGGACGAGGGGACUGACGCCCGAGAAAUUCUGGAGAACAAGCUGCUGCCACUGCGGAGGGGUUACAUUGGGGUGGUGAACAGGAGUCAGAAAGAUAUUGAUGGUAAGAAAGACAUUACUGCUGCCAUGGCUGCAGAGAGGAAGUUCUUCCUGACCCACCCUGCAUACAGGCACCUAGCUGAUCGUAUGGGCACCCCUUACCUACAAAAGACACUCAACCAGCAACUGACCAAUCACAUUCGGGACACUCUGCCAGGACUGCGGGCAAAACUGCAGAGCCAGCUGCUGUCUAUAGAGAAGGAGGUGGAGGAGUACAAGAACUUCAGACCUGAUGACCCCUCUCGCAAGACCAAGGCCCUGCUGCAGAUGGUUCAGCAGUUCUCCGUGGAUUUUGAGAAGCGUAUUGAGGGCUCUGGGGACCAGAUUGACACGGCGGAACUGUCAGGAGGAGCCAGGAUCAACCGCAUCUUCCAUGAACGCUUUCCCUUUGAGCUGGUCAAGAUGGAAUUUAAUGAGAAGGAGCUUCGCAAGGAGAUCAGCUAUGCCAUCAAGAACAUCCAUGGCAUCAGAACUGGCCUCUUCACUCCGGACAUGGCCUUUGAGACCAUUGUGAAAAGGCAGAUCGGCAAGAUCAAAGAGCCCUGCCAGAAAUGUGUGGACAUGGUCAUUUCUGAGCUAGUCAAUACGGUUAGGCAGUGUACUCAGAAGCUGGCCCAGUACCCCAUGCUGAGGGAGGAGAUGGAGAAGAUUGUCACUCAGCACAUCAGAGAUCGUGAGAGUCGCACCAAGGACCAGGUGAUGUUGCUAAUUGACAUUGAGCUGGCCUACAUGAACACUAACCAUGAGGACUUCAUUGGCUUUGCCAAUGCUCAGCAGAGGAGCAGCCAGGUAGCCCAGAAGAAGCAGCCUGGCAAUAAGCAGGAUGAGAUCAUGCCGGAGAGAGGAGCAGUUAAUGAUCGGUUUAAGGUGAUCCGGAAAGGCUGGCUUACCAUUAACAACAUUGGCAUCAUGAAGGGAGGAGCCAAGGAGUACUGGUUUGUUCUGACUGCUGAGUCCCUGUCCUGGUACAAGGAUGAUGAGGAGAAAGAGAAGAAGUACAUGCUCCAGGUGGACAAUCUGAGGCUGAGGGAUGUGGAGAAGGGCUUCAUGUCUAGCAAGCAAAUCUUUGCAUUGUUCAACACUGAGCAAAGGAAUGUUUAUAAGGACUACCGUCAGCUGGAAUUGGCCUGCGAGAGUCAGGAGGAGAUAGAUGGCUGGAAGGCCUCCUUCCUCAGAGCUGGAGUGUAUCCAGAACGUGUCACGGAAAAGGAAGGCAAGAGUGACAGCGGGGAUGGAGAGAACAGCUCAGAUAACCUAAUGAACUCCAUGGACCCUCAGCUGGAGAGGCAGGUGGAGACCAUCCGUAACCUGGUGGACUCCUACAUGGCCAUCGUCAACAAGACCAUCAGGGACCUCAUGCCCAAGACCAUCAUGUACCUCAUGAUCAACAACACUAAGGAGUUCAUCAACGCAGAGUUGCUGGCAAACCUGUAUCACUCUGGGGACCAGAACAGCCUGAUGGAGGAGUCCCAGGAACAGGCCCAUCACCGUGACGAGAUGCUCCGCAUGUACCACGCCCUGAAGGAGGCCUUGAGCAUCAUUGGAGAUAUCAGCACCACCACCGUCACCACGGCUAUGCCGCCGCCCGUGGACGACUCCUGGCUGAGGCCAGGGGGCAACAGCUCUGGGGGCCGGUCUCCGGCUACCAGUCCUACUCCAAACAGAAGGGCUCCCCCAGGCCCCCCUGGUCGCCCGGUCUCCCGUGGUUCGGCCCCUGGCCUCCCACCUGGCCCCCCAGUCCCCUCUCGCCCGGGGGCCUCUCCGGACCCCUUCGGUGGGCCCCCUCCAUCAGUCCCGUCCCGGCCUAACCGCGCCCCCCCUGGUGUGCCCAGGAUCACUAUCAGUGACCAAUGAGGACUAACGCUUCUGCCGAAGACCCCCGCCCUCACCAACCCACUAAACUCCUGAGCCCCCCCUCCCCUCCAACCCAGCCAACCCCUCGGCAGAGAGAACCAGGACUGCAGAGCUCCCUGCCUUCACCCGCCACACUGUCCUUUCCACCUCCACUCGACGAAUCACACAAAGACACUGCAUUCCCAAAAUACGCAACGCCUCUACCCGUCCCUGUAAAUGAAAGACCAUUGUAGAUAUGACAAUAUGUUCACACGCACACUGACACCUUGGUCACGGGGGUGAGUGAGGACAUCAGGUUUAAACCACUAACCCCAUCAGUGAACCCUACACACACUCACCCCUCCCUCUUCCCUGAAACUAUGUGUUCCAUUGCUGUGUGAGAGAUAUGACCUUUUCUACCAGUGACCUGUCAUCUGUGGUUUGUUGUAUUAUGACAUUUGUAAGACUUGACAAGUUAAAAACCUGAAGUCACUAGCCUACCCACAGACCUGUUUCAGUCCCAUACCAUCCCCACCUCACGCAAAACCGCCCUCCCCUUCACAACAACAGUAAAUACUAAGUAUGUUUUAAUUAUUAUUGAAGAGUAAAUAGUUCAUUAUGGACAUAUCUUGUGUGUGUGAUUCUGUAUUUUGUGUUGUGCAUCUUAUGGAAACGAUGCUUCCGCUUGUCUAGAGUUUAGAUGAAAAUGUAUCAGUACUGAAUAUUAAAAUGAUGAAUAAUUGAGUGUGUGCAAUGAAAAAAAUAUAAAAUAAAAAUAUAAAAAAUAAACUACAUUACGUGAAAUGUUAUAUGAAAUAUAUUUGGGAUUUGAAAUCCCUGUCAGUGGUUGAGUGUUGGCAGGUUGUUUGUUGAUUAGCAUGGAGAAUAAUUAAUCCCAUGUUUCUCUGUCCGGAGUGUUGUGGGGGCACAGUGUAUAUUAUCCUGUUGUGACUUCAUCCUGUAUCCCAUCUUACUGUGGGUGGAAUGGGCCUGUCCAACUGUGUGAUUUGUAAACACAUUAAAAGUCAGUGUACAAAAA